rnacentral:lncRNA from 1 species
UCCCUUUCCUCUUCCUCCUCAUGUUCCGUCUCUUUCACUCAUUCCCGUCAAAACGACGACCUAAGCGGCAGAGCAUCACCAAUGGCGUGACUGCUCUGUUUCGAUUCCCCUUCUACGUUACCCCUGUUUGUGGGAAGCAGGAACAGAGGAGCUGAACUACACAGAAAAUGUAUGAGCAGUCAUCAGCAGCUGUGAAAGGAGAAGAGCAGCAGCUAUGGUUAAAGUAUGUAUUUACCGGGAGUCUGUCUUUGUUUAAGCCAUGUAAGAUUAAACAGUAUGUUCU